UUCGGAAGGGGCGAGCGUUGUUCGGAGUCAUUGGGCGUAAAGGGCGCGUAGGUGGUCUUGUAUGUCUACCGUGAAAGCGUACGGCUCAACCGUAUUUUGUCGGUAGAAACUGCAGGACUUGAGGCUGGGAGGGGCUGGCGGAAUUCCCUGUGUAGCGGUGAAAUGCGUAGAGAUGGGGGAGAACACUCGUGGCGAAGGCGGCCAGCUAGACCAGUUCUGACACUGAGGCGCGAUAGCGUGGGGAGCAAACAGG
rnacentral:rRNA from 1 species